CUAGUCUGUUAUUCUAAACAGUAACUGGGGCUUGCCCUGUGGCUAAGUGGUUAAGUUCGUGUUCUCUGCUUCGGUGGCCCAAGGUGUCACUGGUUCGGAUCCUGAGCACGGACGUGGCACCACUCAUUAAGCCAUGCUGAGGCGGCGUCCCACAUAGCACAGCCAGAGGCACUCACAACUAGAAUAUAUGGCUAUGUACUAGGGGGCUUUGAGGAGAAGAAGAAGGAAAAAAGAAGAAGAAGCUGACUGGCAAUGGAUGUUAGCUUUAAAAAAAUAAAUAAUAAAUAAAUCUUUAAUAUAAAUAAAUAAAUAAAAAUAAAGAGUAACAAAAUUCUAUCACAGCAUCAGUUAGAUGGAACCCAGCUGAUGAAGCAGUUUCCAUGGAAAUCCUGUGGCGUGCUUGGCAAAAACAGUCUGCUUUGUGCAAGAAAAAGGAGCUUCAAGAGGUGGAUUUUUUUUCUAAAAGCUCCUCUGGAGACCUCACUCAGCACAGGACUCUCAGCAGCUCAUUCUAAUCCAGCUGCCAUCCCUGCCUCUGGCCUUGGCCCCAGUCCAGAAUGAGGACAUUUCUCAAUGGUUUAAGAGCUUCCUGCUUCUAGAAGAGGUGAGUUGGCCUUUAAAGUGCCCAGACAAGUGGGAUCAGUGUAGAGAGACACUUUUU
rnacentral:lncRNA from 1 species